rnacentral:lncRNA from 1 species
GCUAGUGAUUAUACAAUCACUUUUGGUAACUUACAGUAGUUGUUGCUUCUAGAAUAAAAAAGAUGCCAAAAUAUUUGAAGCAACGUUUACAUUUCAAAAACAGUAACACAUUCAGGUUGAAGUUACUGCACAUCUAGAGCUGAUUUUUUUCUGCUUACUAACAUAAGAGACACUCCUAGAGUUGUCUAUUAUAACAAAAGAACAUGGAUUUUUGUCAUUCCUUUUUUUGUUUGAAAGUUAUUGUUUUGGUUUCUUCAUCCAAUUUGUAGUUUGUGGCUGCUUUUGUCUUCUUCUUUGGUUCUGCUUCAGUUGCUUUUUCUGGUACUUGGAAUAGAGUUCUCUUUGCAUUUAGUGU